rnacentral:rRNA from 1 species
AUUGAACGCUGGCGGCAGGCCUAACACAUGCAAGUCGAGCGAGCGGCGGACGGGUGAGUAAUGUAUGGGGACUGCCCGAUAGAGGGGGAUAACUACUGGAAACGGUGGCUAAUACCGCAUACUAUCGGAUAACCCAUAUGGGAUUAGCUAGUAGGGUGGGUAAAGGCUCACCUAGGCGACGAUCUCUAGCUGGUCUGAGAGGAUGAGUAGCCACACUGUGACGAAGACACGGCCCAGACUACUACGGAGGCAGGAGUGGGGAAUAGUGCACAAUGGGCGCAAGCCUGAUGCAGCCAUGCCGCGUGUAUGAAGAAGGCCUUAGGGUGGUAAAGUUCUUUCAGCUGGGAGGCGUUACCCGCAGAAGAAGCACCGGCUAACUCCGUGCCAGCAGCCGCGGUAAUAC